UUAAGUUCAGCGGGUAGUCUUGCCUGAUUUGAGGCCAAAGAUGAAAUUGUAUGACUGCAUGGACUAGCCCAGAGAAUGCUUAGCACUCAAGCUAGCCCACCACAGGCCACUAUCUGGCUACGUUUAGACCGAGUCCGGGGACAGCAGUCAAAUCGCAUUGCUGCAUUGAUGUAUGCGGCACUCAAACAGACAUGCCUCAA
rnacentral:misc_RNA from 1 species